rnacentral:rRNA from 1 species
AUUAAAUCUUUCAAUUUUGUAUACGAACAUCUUACUCUAGAAACAGAUUCAAGCAAAGACAUAUGAUCUACUAACUUCUUACUAUUAAAGAAACACAAAAGUUCGAGGGACACAAUGAUCACAAUAUCAAAUUGCUUGAAAAGGAUAUUCAAGAAAUAGAAAUAGAUUUGAGUUUUGGGGAAAUUUUUGCUAAAUAUAGUAUAAGAAAUAUAAAAGGAUGUUGGAUGCAAUGUUUGAAAAAUUGGAAUUUUAUAGAGGACAUUACUAUAAAGUGUAAAUUACCUUCUUCUUUUUUUUAACUGGCGGAAUUAGCAACUAGUCGGGCAUGUGCCACGUGGUCAUGUUAUCUGACCACUACCACUAUAACCUUCAUACAUGCCAACGUGGGCAUUCACACGACACACAAGGCUAGUCGAGGGUAUUGAACAGGUGACUUCACAUAACAGAGUGCCUUAAUAGUACACUCCAUCACUGACUGUUCUACACCCCGGGGGAUAAAGUGUAAAUUACCUUCUUUAGGCCCUGAAAAAAACUUUUUUCUAGUGGAACAAGUGAUGAAGCAAUUUGAAGAGUCCAUGGUUCAACUUAAAGAAUAAGUUCAAACAAUUCAAAGUGUUGAGAAGGAACACUUAUAAAAAUGCCUUGUUGAAGAAACUAAGAAAAUGGACUUCUUGGAAUUUUUCUUUAUUAAGAUUAAGAAAUAUACCAAAAGUUUAGAAUGUGAAGCAUUAACUUUGGGGGCCCCAAUAAAACAUGCCUUUCAUCAUAUUGAAAUUUGUCUAAACAUUUUUGAGAAUUUGGAGGAAUAUAAAGAAAAGGUCCCAUAUAAUCAAGAAGAAGACCUUGAUUAGAAUAGGGUUAAGGGUUAGGAAAGUUAGUUUAAUUGUUUUGUAAAGGCUAUUUAAGAAAGGAUGAAAUUUAGAGAAGGGGAUUUGUUGGAUUUUGAACUCCAAAAAACAAAUGUAGAAAACUAAUCUUUUAUGGAUUGAAGGAUGACAAUCAAUAGGUCAAUUUUGUUGAUUAAGUAUUGUUCUGGUUGAUUAUUUCUUCAGAUUUUUUCUACAUUGUGUCAAUAUGGAACAAUUGUAAGAAGUUUCAUAGUUCAUAUUAUUUUUCUGUCAUGAAGCAAAUUUCCUACAAUUUCUUUCAUUUUUAACAUAUUUAUAAUCAUUUUUAAAGAAAAACUUAGUUAAAUUAUUUUUUUGUACCUCACUUAAAUGGAAUCAUUUCUAUGAUUAUAGAGCAGUCAUAAAUUCUAUUUCCAACAUAUUAGCAAGCUAUCUUGAUUUAUAUAUAAUCCAAUGCCCUGAAAACCUAAGGGUUCCUCUGCAAGGUUCGCCCACGGAGGGUGAGUUGGGCCCUAAGAUUAGGCUGAAAGGCGCAGUCGAUGGACAAUGGGUGAAUAUUCAUGUACUACCCCUUGUUGGUCCUAAGGGACGGAAGAGGAUAGGUUAGCCGAAAGAUGGUUAUCGGUUCAAGGACGCAAGGUGACCCUGUUUUUUUCAGGGUAAGAAGGGGUAGAUAAAAUGCCUCGAGCCAAUUUAUGAGUACCAAGCGCUACAGUGUUGAAGUAACCCAUGCCAAACUCCCAUGAAAAUAUCGAAUGACCUUUAACAAACAGGUACCUGCACCUAAAACCGACACAGGUAGGUAGGUAGAGAAUACCUAGGGGUGUGAGACAACUCUCUCUAAGGAACUCGGUAAAAUAGCCCCAUAAAUUCAGGAGAAGGGGUGCCUCCUCAUGAGGUCGCAGUGACCAGGCUCGGGUGACUGUUUACCAAAAACACAGGUCUCUGCAAAUUUGUAAGACCAUGUAUGGGGGCUGAUGUAUGCCCAAUGCUGAAAGGUUAAGGAAGUUGGUGACCUGAUGAUGGGGAAUCCAAUGAUCGAAUCCCCAAUGAAUGGCAGUUGUAACUAUAACGGUCCUAAGGUAGUGAAAUUAUUUGUCGAGUAAGUUUCGACCCACACGAAAGGUGUAACAAUAUGGGCAUUGUCUCGAAGAGACGCUUGGUGAAGUGGACAUGUUUAUGAAGAUGCAGACUACCUACACCUGGAUAGAAAGACCCUAUGAAGAUUUAUUGUUCCCUGUGAUUGUAUUUGGGUUCUUCUUACACAUCUUAGGUGGAAGGCGAAGAAGGCCCCCUUCUAGGGGGGCCUGAUCCACUAGUGAGAUACCACUCUGGAAGAGCUAGAAUUCUAACCUUGUAUCAAGACCUAGAGGCCAAGGGACAGUCUCAGGUAGACAAUUUAUAUGGGGCAUAGGCCUCCCAAAAGGUAACGGAUGUGUGCAAAGGUUUCCUCAUGCCAAACGGAAAUUGUCCCUUGAGUGCAAAGGAAGAAGGGAUAUUAACUGCAAGACCCACCUGUCGAGCAGGAAUAAAAUUAAGCCUUAGUGAUCCGAUGUUUCCAAGUGGAAGGUUCAUCACUCAACAGAUAAAAGUUACUAUAGGGAUAAUAGGUUGAUCUUCCCCAAGAGUUCACAUCGACAAAAAGGUUUUCCACCUCGAUGUCGGCUCUUCGCCACUUGGGGAGGUAGUACGUUCCAAGGGUUGGGUUGUUCUCCCAUUAAAGUGGUACGUGAGUUGGGUUUAGAAUUUUGUGAGAUCGUUCAUUCCAUAUCUGGUGCGGGCGUUAGAGAAUUGAGAGGACCUUUCCCUAGUACGAGAGGAUCGGGAAGGACACACCUCUGGUGUACUAGUUAUCGUGCCCAUUGUAGAUGUUGGGUAGCCAGGUGCAGAGCAUAUAAAUAUUGAAAUCAUAUAAGUAGGAAUCCCACCCCAAGAUGAGUUCUCUCCUAUUCUUACUUCCCCGAGAGCCCUACUCAUGAACACGGCUGGGACAACGACAGUUUCUCUGUUCUUGCAAGGGAUGGAGCGACAAAAGUAUUGAGAAUCCAAGAUAAGAUCAUGGAGAGACGAGAUGUCUAUCAUUACAAUAGGUGUCAAGUGGAAGUGCAGUGAUGUAUGCAGUUGAGGCAUCCUAACAGAUCGAGAGAUUUUAAC